CUCAGAGUCUCCAGUCUACAGUGUGGACUCUCCAGAAAACCACACAGCAGCUUCACUCCUGAAUCCUUCAGGUAGUUGUUGUAACUCAGGUCCAGCUCUCUCAGAUGGGAGGGGUUGGACUUCAGAGCUGAGACCAGAGAAGAACAGCUGAUCUCUGACAAACUGCAGUCCCUCAAUCUGAAUAAAGAAUAAAAGAUGUGAGUUUAGAAGACAAUGUUCCUGCUUGAAAUCAUUCAGUGUUUAAUAAUCUGUUCAGAGCUGAAGAAGGUUUACAAUGUACAAGUUUAGAAAAUGGAAACUCCAAACACCUGAACCCAACAGGAUGCAGGUUGCAAACUGUAAAAUACAAAGAGUGAAAAAGAGCUCUCAUUAAUAUUAAUGACAACGUGCUGC